rnacentral:tRNA from 1 species
AUUUAAGUAGUUUAAGUUAGAACAUUAAUUUGUGGAAUUAAAAGUAUAAUUAAAGUAAGAUUAUUUUAAAUU